CGUGUAGGCGGGAAGGUAAGUCGGGCGUGAAAUCCCUGAGCUCAACUCAGGAACUGCACUCGAAACUACUUUUCUUGAGUGCCGGAGAGGAAAGCGGAAUUCCUGGUGUAGAGGUGAAAUUCGUAGAUAUCAGGAGGAACACCAGUGGCGAAGGCGGCUUUCUGGACGGUAACUGACGCUGAGACGCGAAAGCGUGGGGAGAAACA
rnacentral:rRNA from 1 species